rnacentral:rRNA from 1 species
UACGUAGGGGCCUAGCGUUGUCCGGAUUUAUUGGGCGUAAAGAGCUCGUAGGCGGUUCGGCAAGUCGGAUGUGAAAUCUCCACGCUCAACGUGGAGGGGCCAUUCGAAACUGCCGUGACUCGAGUCCGGUAGGGGAGUGUGGAAUUCCCGGUGUAGCGGUGAAAUGCGCAGAUAUCGGGAGGAACACCAGUAGCGAAGGCGGCUCACUGGCCCGGUACUGACGCUGAGGUGCGAAAGCGUGGGGAGCAAACAGG